AGAGCUGUGCUCAGCAGAAGAAAACUAAUGUCUAUAGGUUAGCCCAGGUCCUCGGAACCUGGCCAGGUCGCUCUCCAUCUUCUGCACCCUUUCCUUCCCUAGAAAAACUGCCUGCGGAGCUGUUACUACUCCCUGUGAGGAGGGAGAAACACGCCGAGUGUUUCGGAAACAGGACGAAGAGCGCAAGAUGGAAACAGCCACAGAAAACCACAAUCAAUGAAGAGGCAGAGUUGUGGAUCUCAGUCCCAGUGGAAAUCCUCCUUUUCAAAACACAUUUCUGCAGACUCUAAUGUGUUCUAUGGACCGUGACAGAGGCCUCGACAAAGCUCAUGAAAGAACGUAGUUUUGCACCAGAUAAUUCAGGGUACCAGAAUGAUAAAGACGUGAUUCAGGUGCAGCUUCUAUACAUACCCAGCUCUUCACAUCGACAUCAGGAUUUCCCUCUGAGCCAUGGUCCCACGUGUUUCCUGCUUUCACCUGAAGUGUUCAAUCAUCAUGUUUUCAUUGUUGCCUGACUCUACGGAAAAAGCAUCAAUUUCCCCAAAGGCCUUUCCAAAUUUUCCCUGGAGCAAUUUCUGUGCAGGGAGAUUACAAAACUCCCACCUCAGAGUCAGGGAUCAGCCUUGGA